AUGACAGAUGCAGGUGAGCCCUCAUGCUAUGAGGAGGCAAUGUCUGAUGAGAACAAAGAAGAAUGGUCAGAAGCCAUGCAAGAUGAGAUGAAUUCCUUGUAUGAGAAUUAUACUUUUGAGUUGGUGAAACUGCCAAAGGGCAAGAAAGCACUCAAGAACAAGUGGGUGUACAGAGUGAAGACUGAAGAAAACACCUCACAUCCAAGGUACAAGGCCAGAUUGGUUGGGAAAGGAUUCAGUCAGAAAAAGGGCAUUGAUUAUAGUAAGAUAUUCUCUCCAGUGGUCAAGAUGUCUUCGAUCCGAGUUGUGCUUGGCAUGGCUGCCACCAUGGACAUGGAAAUUGAACAACUUGAUGUGAAGACAACUUUCUUGCAUGGUGACCUAGAGGAGGAGAUAUACAUGGAGCAGCCAGAGGGAUUCAUGGUUGCAGGUAAGGAGCACUUAGUUUGCAAAUUGAAGAAGAGCUUGUAUGGCUUGAAGCAAGCUCCUCGGCGGUGGUACAAGAAGUUUGAGUCUUUUAUGACUGGGCUUGGUCACCAUAAAGCACAACCUGACCAUUGUAUCUUUAUGAAGAGGUACGCCGAGGGUGACUUCAUUAUUCUCUUGUUGUAUGUUGAUGAUAUGCUGAUUGUUGGAAAUGGCACAAAGAGGAUUGCUCUCCUCAAGAAGUCAUUGAGUAAAUCAUUUGCCAUGAAGGAUUUAGGACCAGCUAAGCAAAUACUUGGCAUGAAGAUCUCCCGUGAUAGAUCAAAGAAGCUGCUUUGGCUCUCACGGGAAAGAUACAUUGAGAAGGUACUUGAAAGGUUCAAUAUGAAAGAUGCAAAAUCUGUUCUCUCUCCGCUUGCAGGCCAUCACAAACUGAAUUCUAAACAAUGUCCUACAAGCAAGAAGGAGAAAGAAGAAAUGAGGAAAGUACCUUACCAAUCUGCCGUGGGCAGUUUGAUGUAUGCCAUGGUAUGCACUAGGCCUGACAUUGCCUAUGCAGUUGGAGUUGUUAGCCGGUUCAUGAAAAAUCCAGGUAAAGCUCACUGGGAAGCAGUGAAGUGGAUUCUCAGGUAUCUCAAGGGUACUCCUACAUCUUGUCUAUGCUUUGGAAGUGGUGAUCCUGUAUUGCAGGGCUAUACAGAUGCAGAUUAUGCAGGUGACAAGGAUCGUAGGAAGUCCACAUCCGGAUACCUGAUGACUUAUGCAGGGGGAGCAGUGUCAUGGAAAUCAAGAUUGCAGAAAUGUGUUUCUACAUCAACUACAGAAACUGAGUACAUUGCAGCAGUUGAUGCUGGCAAGAAAGUUUUGUGGAUGAAGAACUUCUUGCAAGAGCUCAGCAUGAAGCAAGAGAAGUAUGUUCAGUUUUGUGAUAGUCAGAGUGCUAUUCAUCUUGCCAAGAAUUCAAGCUAUCACUCUCGAACCAAGCACAUUGAUGUGAGGUACCAUUGGAUUCGAGAUGUUGUGAGUUCCAAGUUGCUGAAACUUGAGAAGAUCCAUACAGACGACAAUGGUUCGGAUAUGAUGACCAAGAUAUUACCAAAUGAGAAGCUACAAGCAUGUUGCAAGGUAGCGGGCAUGGCGCUGCCCCCCUCAUGA
rnacentral:rRNA from 1 species